UUGGUAAUUCUACAGGUUUUGAAUGACUGCAUGUUAGUUAUCCUAGUAUCCUUUUUGAAGUAGUGUCUGUUCAGUAGUUACUGUAUAGCUGGAUGUGGAGAUUGUUUUUGUGUUGCACAUUUUCUGAGAAUCUUGUAAUUGUGAUUAAAAAGCUGUUCCAUUUUUUUUAAGAUGGAUGGUUUCCUCAAAAGAUGGUAGUGUUAAAUCACUAGAAGUACAGUCGUAAGCAUCCCAAAGGCAAAAUCUAAAAGUUCUUUUGCAUCUGCAAAUAUGUCUGGCUUCCCAAGUUGAGUAAUCUUCUGAAGAAACUUAAGUGGCUUAGCCCCUGCUUAGUUGUUUGUAUUCCUGCACUUUUGUGCCUCGUUUGUUUAAAAUGACCUUAAUUAAACAUGAAGCACACUACUAGCUCAGAGAAUUGUGCUUUCUGGCUUGCUUCACUUGCUGUUGCAUUGUUUUGCCAAAAGAUGAUUUGCACUCAAAAGGCCUAAUCCUGACAUCACUGACAUAAAGCAAACUAACAGCAAGUUCUGUUUCUUAAUUCAGUGAUGUGGGAUUGGAUUCACUGUUUCCAUCUGUACCUUGCAGGUUUAGCAGUUAUGCAGAAAGAUUAAUCAUAUUUCCUGGAAGCUAAUAAGUUGGCCUGUACUGAUUUAGUAAUGCAGCAAAAUGGUUGUGAACUUUCCUUACUCAAAGACAGAAAAUUUUGUUUGAAUUAUUAGCUUAGAGUUUUUGUUCUGUUUGUUGAUUUUUCUUUUUGCUUAAAAAAAAAAAAAGUUAAUGUUCUCUUUUGAAGUGUAGAACUGGAGCUUUCCCAUUACAAAUAGGUUUAGGAUUUUUUUCUUCUGAUGCCAUCAUUUUAAGGAUCAGAGUUCCAGAAUACUUGCAGCAGCCUUGUAUUUUUCUGUCUGUUCGUGACAAACCAGCUACUGUACAUUCAUAUAGAGCAGUACAGUCCUUGCCACUGGCAGUCUCUCUGUGACAGAGAGCCUGUAGGCUGACAUAAAGUGCAGCCUGUUGUGAACUGCUAAGUGGGAGUCUGCCAAAAACUCAGCAGACAGAACUAAUUGGGGAGAAAAAGGAUUUUUGUGCCCUCAUCUCUCCCUCUUCAAUUUUUUUUACAAGACGGAUAUUGUUAAAGUAACUUGUUUAUGUAAGAUUUGUCUGCCUCUAUUUUCUCAUUGCAUGAAUCAUUUUUUAACUUCAAGUCUUGCACCGCAGGUCACUGAGCACUUCCACAUGGCGGCUGGCACAGAACCAAACUCGAGACACGCAACUCAUCACAGUUGAUGAAAAAUUGAAUAUCUCUACUUAAG